rnacentral:pre_miRNA from 1 species
UGUAAACAUCCUACACUCAGCUCCAAUGUACGCUCUGACUGGGUGGGGGGUGUUUGCUUC